rnacentral:rRNA from 1 species
AUUGAACGCUGGCGGCAUGCCUUACACAUGCAAGUCGAACGGUAACGCGGGGCAACCUGGCGACGAGUGGCGAACGGGUGAGUAAUGCAUCGGAACGUACCCAGUAGUGGGGGAUAGCCCGGCGAAAGCCGGAUUAAUACCGCAUACGACCUACGGGUGAAAGUGGGGGACCUUCGGGCCUCACGCGAUGAGAUGAGCCGAUGCCGGAUUAGCUAGUUGGCGGGGUAAAGGCCCACCAAGGCGACGAUCCGUAGCUGGUCUGAGAGGAUGAUCAGCCACACUGGAACUGAGACACGGUCCAGACUCCUACGGGAGGCAGCAGUGGGGAAUAUUGGACAAUGGGGGCAACCCUGAUCCAGCCAUGCCGCGUGUGUGAAGAAGGCCUCGGUUGGUAAGCGACUUAAGUACGAGGAGGAAGGUUUUAAGG